rnacentral:rRNA from 1 species
CUACGGGGGGCUGCAGUGGGGAAUAUUGGACAAUGGGGGAAACCCUGAUCCAGCAAUGCCGCGUGUGUGAAGAAGGCCUGCGGGUCGUAAAGCACUUUCGGUUGGGAGGACUGCUUCUAGCACUAAUAUUGUUGGAAGUUGACGUUACCUUCAGAAGAAGCACCGGCUAACUCCGUGCCAGCAGCCGCGGUAAUACGGAGGGUGGCAAGCGUUAAUCGGAAUUACUGGGCGUAAAGCGCGCGUAGGCGGCUAGAUCAGUCGGGUGUGAAAGCCCCGGGCUUAACCUGGGAACUGCAUCCGAUACUGUCUAGCUUGAGUACAGGAGAGGAGAGUGGAAUUCCACAUGUAGCGGUGAAAUGCGUAGAUAUGUGGAGGAACACCAAUGGCGAAGGCAGCUCUCUGGCCUGAUACUGACGCUGAGGUGCGAAAGCGUGGGGAGCAAACAGGAUUAGAUACCCUUGUAGUC